UGCCAGCAGCCGCGGUAAUAAGGAGGGGGUUAGCGUUGUUCGGAAUUACUGGGCGUAAAGCGCACGUAGGCGGACUAUUAAGUCAGGGGUGAAAUCCCGGGGCUCAACCCCGGAACUGCCCUUGAUACUGGUAGUCUAGAGUUCGAGAGAGGUGAGUGGAAUUCCGAGUGUAGAGGUGAAAUUCGGAGAUAUUCGGAGGAACACCAGUGGCGAAGGCGGCGCACUGGCUCGAUACUGACGCUGAGAUGCGACAGCUUGGGGAGCAAACAGGAUUAGAUC
rnacentral:rRNA from 1 species